rnacentral:rRNA from 1 species
AUGUCUAGCUCCGGCAUCAACGCCAUACCCGCAGCCAACCACGAGGAGCAGAGCCUGGCGGCGCCCGCCCCGCCCCCUACGGUCGCCGUCGCUGAGGGGAAAGGGAAGGUGCUUGCGCAACAGGCACCUGCGCCGGUGGUUCGCAAGCGCAAGUCCGGCAGAGACCCGCAGAAAAGCCCGCCCCUAGCGGCCACCAGAGAGGAGCUGGAAUCCCGGGAGUCCCGGGAAGGACCCUUGAAGGUCCUUGCGCUCCCGGCGCCAGGGGCCCCGCGUACUCACGCUGUCUUCAGCGACAAGAUGAUGAGACGCGCUCGCGCCCGCACCCUGCAUGCAAAUGCUGUCUCCAACGACAAGAUGGUGAGCCGCGCUCGCGCCCCCACCCUUCAUGCAAACCCUGUCUCCGAUGACAAGAUGAUGGACGGGAAAAAUGAGAUGGCGCCGGUCCAGGGGGUGCCGCCCAUGCGGGGAAGCAUCGCGGCUUCAAGCUCGGUUGGUGGGGUUGUGAGUGAAAAUGCGGGGAGCUUGGCAGCAGGGAAAAUGGCACCUAGAGGGGCUCAUGUCUCCAUGAUGAACAACCACAACUUUGAUUUGAAUGAGCUACCGAUUGAACAUGAGCAGCUCCAGCAGGAGCAGCCGCCCAAAGAGCAGGAUUAG